AGCCCCGUCGUCUAGCGGUCAAGGAUGUCUGGCUCUGGACCAGAAGACGCCAGUUCGAAUCUGGCCGGGGCUA
rnacentral:tRNA from 1 species